rnacentral:rRNA from 1 species
GGAUGAACGCUGGCGGCGUGCUUAACACAUGCAAGUCGAACGAUGAUCCCAGCUUGCUGGGGGAUUAGUGGCGAACGGGUGAGUAACACGUGAGUAACCUGCCCUUGACUCUGGGAUAAGCCUGGGAAACUGGGUCUAAUACCGGAUACGACCAUCUGGCGCAUGUCAUGGUGGUGGAAAGCUUUUGUGGUUUUGGAUGGACUCGCGGCCUAUCAGCUUGUUGGUGGGGUAAUGGCCUACCAAGGCGACGACGGGUAGCCGGCCUGAGAGGGUGACCGGCCACACUGGGACUGAGACACGGCCCAGACUCCUACGGGAGGCAGCAGUGGGGAAUAUUGCACAAUGGGCGCAAGCCUGAUGCAGCGACGCCGCGUGAGGGAUGACGGCCUUCGGGUUGUAAACCUCUUUCAGUAGGGAAGAAGCGAAAGUGACGGUACCUGCAGAAGAAGCGCCGGCUAACUACKU